rnacentral:rRNA from 1 species
GGGGAAUAUUGGACAAUGGGCGCAAGCCUGAUCCAGCCAUGCCGCGUGAGUGAUGAAGGCCUUAGGGUUGUAAAGCUCUUUUGUCCGGGAAGAUAAUGACUGUACCGGAAGAAUAAGCCCCGGCUAACUUCGUGCCAGCAGCCGCGGUAAUACGAAGGGGGCUAGCGUUGCUCGGAAUCACUGGGCGUAAAGGGCGCGUAGGCGGACUUUUAAGUCGGAGGUGAAAGCCCAGGGCUCAACCCUGGAAUUGCCUUCGAUACUGGGAGUCUUGAGUUCGGAAGAGGUUGGUGGAACUGCGAGUGUAGAGGUGAAAUUCGUAGAUAUUCGCAAGAACACCGGUGGCGAAGGCGGCCAACUGGUCCGAAACUGACGCUGAGGCGCGAAAGCGUGGGGAGCAAAC